UCCCUGGUGGUCCAGUGAUUAAAAACUCUGCACUUCUACCGCAGGGGGCUUGGGUUUGAUUCCUGCUCAGGGAA
rnacentral:tRNA from 1 species